GAACAUUUUCAAUCAGAAGGAAGGCAGAACAGCAUCUGUAUUAAGAGAGAACAGUGGAAGUAACCCAGAUUUGUAGAAUCCCCACUGGACUACAGAACACAGAUAAAGGGAAUUGACAGUAUGUGAAUGUCAUCUACAGAGUUCAUCACUGAAGGGAGAUAGCAUACCAAGAGAAAAAAGACAACAAAUCCAGGUGUUUUGAAUUGAAAAAAUGUACAAGAUGCCACAGUAGCUCUGGGGAUUUGCCUGCUUUCAAGGUCACCAGAAGAAAUUUGUUCUCUUUGGCUGCUUGGAAUCCAAUUGAUUUUCUGAUAGGAAGAAUACUCCAUGGUGAGAGGCAGGGCCAGUAAGCAGCACUCUCUCCCCACACCUUAGAAGACAUAGCCAUCAUCUUUUCAUCUUCUGUGUCUGGAUUACUGAGAAUUGGGAGACAGGCCAUCUUCUGCCACUUAUGGGCAAUGAAGUUAUAAGUCCUGUGAAGUAAUAGACUACAAAUUACAAUGCUUCAUUGCAUAAGCAAGUAACAGGAAAUGAAUUAUGAAGAACAAAGUCGUUGUUAACACAAGCUUCAAUAAUCCUUAAUUCUGAACAGGAAAAUAGCCAAUCAGUUGUGUAAGGGUCUAUGAAUAAAGUAGGAUAAUAUGCAUUUGAA